rnacentral:rRNA from 1 species
AUGCCGCGUGUGUGAAGAAGGCCUUAUGGUUGUAAAGCACUUUAAGCGAGGAGGAGGCUCUUUUGGUUAAUACCCAAGAUGAGUGGACGUUACUCGCAGAAUAAGCACCGGCUAACUCUGUGCCAGCAGCCGCGGUAAUACAGAGGGUGCAAGCGUUAAUCGGAUUUACUGGGCGUAAAGCGCGCGUAGGCGGCCAAUUAAGUCAAAUGUGAAAUCCCCGAGCUUAACUUGGGAAUUGCAUUCGAUACUGGUUGGCUAGAGUGUGGGAGAGGAUGGUAGAAUUCCAGGUGUAGCGGUGAAAUGCGUAGAGAUCUGGAGGAAUACCGAUGGCGAAGGCAGCCAUCUGGCCUAACACUGACGCUGAGGUGCGAAAGCAUGGGGAGCAAACAGGAUUAGAUACCCUGGUAGUCCAUGCCGUAAACGAUGUCUACUAGCCGUUGGGGCCUUUGAGGCUUUAGUGGCGCAGCUAACGCGAUAAGUAGACCGCCUGGGGAGUACGGUCGCAAGACUAAAACUCAAAUGAAUUGACGGGGGCCCGCACAAGCGGUGGAGCAUGUGGUUUAAUUCGAUGCAACGCG